CUCAGGACGAACGCUGGCGGCGUGCUUAACACAUGCAAGUCGAACGGUGAAGCCCAGCUUGCUGGGUGGAUCAGUGGCGAACGGGUGAGUAACACGUGAGGAACCUGCCCCUGACUUCGGGAUAAGCCUUGGAAACGGGGUCUAAUACCGGAUAUGACACGCCCUCGCAUGAGGAGUGUGUGGAAAGAUUUAUCGGUUGGGGAUGGUCUCGCGGCCUAUCAGCUUGUUGGUGGGGUAAUGGCCUACCAAGGCGACGACGGGUAGCCGGCCUGAGAGGGCGACCGGCCACACUGGGACUGAGACACGGCCCAGACUCCUACGGGAGGCAGCAGUGGGGAAUAUUGCACAAUGGGCGCAAGCCUGAUGCAGCGACGCCGCGUGAGGGAUGAAGGCCUUCGGGUUGUAAACCUCUUUCAGCAGGGAAGAAGCGAAAGUGACGGUACCUGCAGAAGAAGCGCCGGCUAACUACGUGCCAGCAGCCGCGGUAAUACGUAGGGCGCAAGCGUUGUCCGGAAUUAUUGGGCGUAAAGAGCUCGUAGGCGGUUUGUCGCGUCUGGUGUGAAAACUCAAGGCUCAACCUUGAGCUUGCAUCGGGUACGGGCAGACUAGAGUGCGGUAGGGGUGACUGGAAUUCCUGGUGUAGCGGUGGAAUGCGCAGAUAUCAGGAGGAACACCGAUGGCGAAGGCAGGUCACUGGGCCGCAACUGACGCUGAGGAGCGAAAGCAUGGGGAGCGAACAGGAUUAGAUACCCUGGUAGUCCAUGCCGUAAACGUUGGGCACUAGGUGUGGGGCUCAUUCCACGAGUUCCGUGCCGCAGCAAACGCAUUAA
rnacentral:rRNA from 1 species